ensembl:snoRNA
CCCGCCUACAAAGGCAUAUCUUGGGUUCCUUGUCUUUGGACACUCAAUUUUUUUGGAGACAAAAAAAUUGUGGAUUUCGCGACAUCUGGGCCAGCUUGUUCCCUGCAGGUUCCAGAUCAGCCAUCUCACAUAA